rnacentral:lncRNA from 1 species
UCUUUCUGCAACGGACCCCAGACCAGUAACAUAACAAAGAAAAAAAUACGAGACACGAUACACAAACGCACCCUUACACACACACCAUGGACCUCUAUGUCCAGCACACAAAACACACACAGGACCUGUCCAGCAUUUACACCCUAUGCCGCCCUAUGGCUAUGCCUACGGCCAGUGCAAGAAAUUUGAUUUCGCAAUCAAUCGCACAUGUGUGUUGUUUGUACACAAAGCUGACGCUGAGCACGUGUGUAAUUCUACCACACAUCUCGAACAGUCGAACUACACAUUUGCAAUGUGAACUUAAUUUAAACGAAGAAGAAUUUCCGAUGGCGACGAAGCGCGACAGCUUUUCAAAGCUCUCUAUUUUACAGAAGAGGAAAAUGCUGCAACAAAUGAAGAGGCCACCAGUCUACUACGAGCCGGAGUACGGCUCCAGGCCAGCGCCAGGCCCAGUCCCACUCUCAGUCUGAUUAUUGAGUCGAGUUUUGGCGAUUUGACAUCAGCUACGGGUUCGAAGAUUGCAGCAAGCAACGACGUUGUGUUCGAGCAGAUCCCGUUGGUGCAGAGAGAGGUGGAACUUGAAGUGUUCAGUGAAAGCAGUGUUGUUCAAAGAGAGAAAGUACAUCCAUGUACACUACAACAUGAACCCCAUGCAAGUGAAGUUGAGAUUCAAGCAGAUCAACCCUGAGGAAGAAAACGUCAGAUGGUAUGUUUUGCUGACAUAGAGACAGAGUCUGACUCCUCUCAUUGCUCUGAAGCUGUAUCAUGUACGUGUAGAAGGAACUUCAGCAAAAAGCGAAAUGCAGCCUGUCUGGAAUUAGCGGCAAUACUGAGAAUGAAAUGCUGCAGAAGUUAUUGUCUUCAUAAGAUAUAAAGAAUAGAUGCAAGGCCCGCAGAGGAUUUCAGAACAAGACUCUAGCAGAUCAGAGGCUAUGGAUUUUGCAGUACCUUAUUGAACAUCACAACUUUGUAAACAUGGAUGGAGACUCAUCCUUGGGAUUACUAUGACCCGCUUAUGGAAGAUGGAGUCAGGGUUAGCAGAAGGAUUGGUGACAUCUCGUCCAUCAAAUCACCAUCGUAAAGGACUUUGUUCUUUGUCUGUGAUGAUGUCAAUGGUGUGGCUUAGUGAAUUUGUCGAUAAGUUUGGAGAGAAACUGCCAACCAACAACAAAAUCCAUCUUCUUCAUGCCUUAUACAUGGAAAUGUGUAUCGGAUUAUGAAGGAGGAUGUAGAAGAGCAAGGAGGUUCUGUUUGUAGUCAGCAAUACUUCUUCCGCAAAUGGAGAAUGGAAAUGUCUCAUGUUACCAUUCCAAAGGUGAACCGGUUUUUGAAAUGCGACAUAUGCACCAAACUGAAAUCUUGCCUAGAGAAGACAACUGGCAGAGAAGAGAGACAAACUUUACUGCAAGAAAGAGAGUCACACCUUUUCCAGCAAAAGUCCAUCUAGGUACUAAGCAGAAAAGGCCUCAACAUCCAUUAUUAAAACUGGGAGAUACGGUUGCAGUCUACUUAGAAGAGUUCAGUAAUGAAUGGCCGCGAGUGAGCAAAGUGUUAAAAAUGACUGGAGACAGUGUGAAGCUGCAUUAGUACUCGGGAUCAGAAACGUCCACGUGGAUAUCGCCUACCACAUCAGUUCGAGGACAGAAGGGUCAGCCGUACACGGGAGAAGUCUCUCUUCAAGAAGUCAUUUCUUUCCCCUACAGUCUCACUAAAACAAACAAAUUACCAUAGGAUAUCCAGCGUCACGUGAAGAAUACUUUGCAUGUUAGGUCUGUAUGAACAUACACUGUAUUCAUACCAAUUUGGAAUGAGUUUGUUUGUCCAGGACUCAAAAGCUGUAUGUCUAUAUGGAAGCCACUUGAAUUAUGUGUUUUUGUGAUAUUACAAUGUACCUAUAUUUUUCCACAUUGGAUAUGGGGAUAAUUUCCAGGGUGUAUCUUCACAUGAGUUUGAUCACCUACAUGUAUCUACAUUUAGAAGAGAUAAAUGCACAAUGAUUGAUAGAGAGUUGGUACCUGAAGUAGGUAAUGAUUUAACUCUAAAUAGACUGGGCUAUUUCUACGCCUAAGAAGACUGGGGGGGGGGCUGAUUCAGCCCCCCUUAUGAUCUCAGCGGUCGAUCGCGCAAUCGCGACAAAAAUUGGCACACGCAUUACCCAUGGCAUUAUCUACAAGACUAUAACAUCAAAU